GGAGCGUGCGCAGCUGCCGGCGCCCUUUAAGCCGCGCCGCCCGCCCGCCCGCUCGGUGUGUGUGCAGCCCGGGAGCCGCGCGGGCGGGAGCCGCCGCCAGCACAGCCGGGGACGCGCUUUCCUCCUCUUUUCCUCCGUUGCCCCCUGUCCGGCACCGCCGCCCCCCUCUUCUUGCCCUGUGUCCCGCCAAUCCCCGCUCCUCCCGCCACAGCCGAGCUCUGCGAUGCCCCGCUAUGAACUGGCUUUGAUCCUGAAAGCCAUGCAAAGGCCUGAGACAGCAGCUGUGCUGAAGCGCACUGUAGAGGCUCUCAUGGAAAGAGGAGCCAUUGUGAGGAACCUCGAAAACCUGGGAGAAAGGGCUCUGCCGUAUAAAAUCUCCAAGCACAACCACCGCCACAGAAGAGGAGGCAAAAAGGAGUUCUGAGUCUGCAUUGUACCGGGGUGAGAACAAAACCAGUUUGAAUACUUGAGCAUUAGGCAUGUGUGUGGUAUUUUCUACAAAAUUGAUUGUCUUCUUCCACUAGAUGGGGCUUUCUCCAUUGGUAUUUUUUGGUAGACUUAGAGGGCCCACCUUCAAUUGUAUCGACCAUGAUGGAUCAUUUAGGACGAGAUAUUGAUAUAAUUAGACGUGCUUUUAUAAAGUAUCCUGUGUCAAAGACAGAAGAAUGCAGUGGCAUAGUCCCUGUCAACUGUGAAGACAAACUAAUUCCCAAGAAGAAAUGAAUACUCAAAAUUUCAUGUUUGAAACUUUUAAGAGAUUUUUUUAGUCCUACUUUUGAAUACAAUUUUGAUAAGUAAUGUCCAUCAAAAAUAAUCAGUUUUAGCAAUGUUAUGUGCGUGGCAUAGCAUGCUUAAGUUAUUGUAACAUCUGAGGUUUCUUUUAAAAUUGUUUAAAAUAACUUGGGUAGAAUUAAUCUGUAUGCUUAUCUUGAUGUUUGACUGUUCUGAAAAUGGAUUUUCUUUUCUCUUAGAAUAUUACAUUGAUAAGAUUUAUCCAUCAUCACGACACUCAAAAUAGCAUUCUUUUCCAAAGGCAGGUUACUUCAUAAUAUGCAUAUUUACAUUAGAGAUUAAGAAGUCUACAGUGUAAAUAUAGCACAAUAGUAUGUCAUCUGUUCGAGGAUUUUUUUGCUUGUUUUUGGAAAAAAAGGUAAUAAAAGUGUGAUUAAAAAUAAAACUUGACUCAUUUUUUAAGACCAGAAAAGGUACAAGAAGAGACGACUCACGCUGCCAAAAGACCUGCCAAACUUUUCUUUACGGUCAUGUGAGAACUGUGUUCAAAGUACAGGUAAAGAGUUACUCUGUAUGCAAACGCCAAUUGGCGUUUGAGAGAAUGACCAUGAUGCUGAGUGAAAGAAGAAGAAAAGGUGUUUUCUUUUACCAUCAACUAGAUCCAGACUGGACAUUGGAAUGGAGGAAAAUACUUGUAGGAUAGACCUUCCUUCCACACAGCUUAGCCAGGAGGAGCUGUGGGGUUCUAAGUCUGUGCUAUGGGGUUGGAUACGUGUGCUGCCCUUUUUGCUGACCUGCUGAGAAUCGAGAUUAACAGCAUAUGAAGCACAAGCUACAAAUAGGAAAAUACAUAAAAAUGUAGUUUACUCAAGUUUCUCAGAAGUUUUUCUUAAUGGGACAUGAGCAGAAGCUUGUAGCCUAAAGAAACCAAGGUUUCCAUCAUCUUUCAUGGUUUCAGUCUUUUGAGAAAUGAGUGCUUAACUGAUUUUGGUCACCUACCUAUUCACAGAACAAAUUGAUGGUCCGUGUGUAAAACAGGGCAAGGUUCUCCCUUGUGUUACCACCCGUGCAAGCUAUUCACCUACACCUCCCUCCACUCUUCCUCUCCCCCCACCCUUUUUUUGUUGUUGUUGUUUUGUGUAGGUGCACAAAAAGGGUAUUUGCUGGUUACUUGAGGUUUUUUAUUCUUUAAGAAAAAUUGCUUUGAGAUCUAGCUUAAAACAGUUAUCCUCUGGCUAGGAAUCUAGGCCCUGGAUUUAAUUUCAGUAGAUAUGAGAAUAUAUAAGCUUUCAGCUUCACUAAAUAAAGAUUGGAAACAGACUGUAUAUACACAAA